rnacentral:lncRNA from 1 species
CUGAAUUUGUCCCUUGCUGAAGCUGCCCCAUGAGGCCUGACUGCUGGAUAACUGAGCUUCUCCAUUGCUUAUUAGAAGCAAUUGGCUGCAGCAAUAGUGAAAAGAGAUACUUAAAGCAUGGAAAAAUGUGACAUUCCAUUGACAUUUAUCUGCCUCAUCAGAAAGUUGACUUCACCUGGGAAUGUUAAAAUGGGAGGAGACAGAUAUCCAAGCUUCCCUUACUUGUAAGUAUGGAUCUGAAGAAAGGCAGAUAAGGUGUGCUGACAGAUGGGACAGCCCAAUGGCAAAUUGCCCAUCAGCUGGGACAGAUGUUUGGUGCCAUUGGAAGAAAAACCUGCAAACCUGGAACAAUGGGUUACUGCUGGAUUCUGCUACUCUUUUUUUUUCCAGACUCUCUGCUUUCUGUGGUGAUCAGCUACAGGAGUGGAAAAGAAGCGGG